rnacentral:rRNA from 1 species
UGGGGAAUAUUGGACAAUGGGCGCAAGCCUGAUCCAGCCAUGCCGCGUGGAUGAUGAAGACCCUAGGGUUGUAAAGUCCUUUCGGCGGGGAAGAUAAUGACGGUACCCGCAGAAGAAGCCCCGGCUAACUUCGUGCCAGCAGCCGCGGUAAUACGAAGGGGGCUAGCGUUGCUCGGAAUCACUGGGCGUAAAGCGCACGUAGGCGGCUUUCUAAGUCGGUGGUGAAAUCCUGGAGCUCAACUCCAGAACUGCCUCCGAUACUGGAGAGCUCGAGUCCGGGAGAGGUGGGUGGAACUGCGAGUGUAGAGGUGAAAUUCGUAGAUAUUCGCAAGAACACCAGUGGCGAAGGCGGCUCACUGGCCCGGUACUGACGCUGAGGUGCGAAAGCGUGGGGAGCAAACA